UGUAGGGCACGAUGCAACAAAACCAUCAACAUCUUAUUUGCUUGGCUAUUACUUGGGUCAAAAACAAUGUCACCCCAAAAUACAAAAAUGACCGAGCUUCAUAUUUCAAACGUAUUUUUUAGGAUAUCUCACCGAAAAAAUUGAAUUUAGUACAAAAACUCUUAGCUAAACAAUUUGCUUCUCCUGCAACACAAAAUGAAAGAUUUGUACAAGUGUUGGAGAAUUUCUUUGUUGAUUGUAUUGUGGACGACAUUAUUGCUGGGUAUUAUGUUGAUGCCUCACAUUGCGGAAUCUGCGAGAUUUCCCCGACGAGUGGCUCUCAUUCUUCGUUCCCAAGAUUGCCCAAUGAAGGGCUGCAAUUUAGUUGGAGUUGGCCCCAGUGAACCAUGAUCAUAAGCAGAUUUGAGAAGCAUGCAUUGCAUCAGAAAGCAGUGGAGCAAAAUUUUAUCUCCAUUGAAAGCGAAACCCAUUUGUGUUCACCAAUGUUAUUUACAUGUCGUCGCUUGCUUGUAAAUCAAUGAAUUUCUUCAGGAUAAUUUACUUUUACAACAAAAAAUGCUGCAUAACAUUUUCAUUUCAGGGUUACGUAUGGUUUCUGAUAGUAAUCAUAUAUGAACAAUGAUUUCUGAGAACCAAA